UAACACAUGCAAGUCGAGGGGCAGCAUUUCAGUUUGCUUGCAAACUGGAGAUGGCGACCGGCGCACGGGUGAGUAACACGUAUCCAACCUGCCGAUAACUCGGGGAUAGCCUUUCGAAAGAAAGAUUAAUACCCGAUGGCAUAAUUAGACCGCAUGGUCUUAUUAUUAAAGAAUUUCGGUUAUCGAUGGGGAUGCGUUCCAUUAGGCAGUUGGUGAGGUAACGGCUCACCAAACCUUCGAUGGAUAGGGGUUCUGAGAGGAAGGUCCCCCACAUUGGAACUGAGACACGGUCCAAACUCCUACGGGAGGCAGCAGUGAGGAAUAUUGGUCAAUGGGCGCAGGCCUGAACCAGCCAAGUAGCGUGAAGGAUGACUGCCCUAUGGGUUGUAAACUUCUUUUAUAUGGGAAUAAAGUUUUCCACGUGUGGAACUUUGUAUGUACCAUAUGAAUAAGGAUCGGCUAACUCCGUGCCAGCAGCCGCGGUAAUACGGAGGAUCCGAGCGUUAUCCGGAUUUAUUGGGUUUAAAGGGAGCGUAGGUGGACAGUUAAGUCAGUUGUGAAAGUUUGCGGCUCAACCGUAAAAUUGCAGUUGAUACUGGCUGUCUUGAGUACAGUAGAGGUGGGCGGAAUUCGUGGUGUAGCGGUGAAAUGCUUAGAUAUCACGAAGAACUCCGAUUGCGAAGGCAGCUCACUGGACUGCAACUGACACUGAUGCUCGAAAGUGUGGGUAUCAAACAGGAUUAGAUACCCUGGUAGUCCACACAGUAAACGAUGAAUACUCGCUGUUUGCGAUAUACAGUAAGCGGCCAAGCGAAAGCAUUAAGUAUUCCACCUGGGGAGUACGCCGGCAACGGUGAAACUCAAAGGAAUUGACGGGGGCCCGCACAAGCGGAGGAACAUGUGGUUUAAUUCGAUGAUACGCGAGGAACCUUACCCGGGCUUAAAUUGCAUUUGAAUAUAUUGGAAACAGUAUAGCCGUAAGGCAAAUGUGAAGGUGCUGCAUGGUUGUCGUCAGCUCGUGCCGUGAGGUGUCGGCUUAAGUGCCAUAACGAGCGCAACCCUUAUCUUUAGUUACUAACAGGUCAUGCUGAGGACUCUAGAGAGACUGCCGUCGUAAGAUGUGAGGAAGGUGGGGAUGACGUCAAAUCAGCACGGCCCUUACGUCCGGGGCUACACACGUGUUACAAUGGGGGGUACAGAAGGCAGCUACCUGGUGACAGGAUGCUAAUCCCAAAAGCCUCUCUCAGUUCGGAUCGAAGUCUGCAACCCGACUUCGUGAAGCUGGAUUCGCUAGUAAUCGCGCAUCAGCCAUGGCGCGGUGAAUACGUUCCCGGGCCUUGUACACACCGCCCGUCAAGCCAUGAAAGCCGGGGGUACCUGAAGUACGUAACCGCAAGGAGCGUCCUAGGGUAAAACUGGUAAUUGGGGCUAAG
rnacentral:rRNA from 1 species